rnacentral:tRNA from 1 species
GCGGCAUCAGGGCGGCGAGGCGGUCCGCCGCGCCGUUGGUGAGGCGCAGCGUCGGGCGGCCGCCCGGCAGGUUCACCACCUCCAUGUCGCGCCA